GAUGAACGCUGACAGAAUGCUUAACACAUGCAAGUCAACUUGAACUUCGGUUUGGGUGGCGGACGGGUGAGUAACGCGUAAAGAACUUGCCUCACAGAUAGGGACAACAUUUGGAAACGAAUGCUAAUACCUGAUAUUAUGAUUUUAGGGCAUCCUAGGAUUAUGAAAGCUAUAUGCGCUGUGAGAGAGCUUUGCGUCCCAUUAGCUAGUUGGAGAGGUAACGGCUCACCAAGGCGAUGAUGGGUAGCCGGCCUGAGAGGGUGAUCGGCCACAAGGGGACUGAGACACGGCCCUUACUCCUACGGGAGGCAGCAGUGGGGAAUAUUGGACAAUGGACCAAGAGUCUGAUCCAGCAAUUCUGUGUGCACGAUGAAGUUUUUCGGAAUGUAAAGUGCUUUCAGUUGGGAAGAAAAAAAUGACGGUACCAACAGAAGAAGUGACGGCUGAAUACGUGCCAGCAGCCGCGGUAAUACGUAUGUCACAAGCGUUAUCCGGAUUUAUUGGGCGUAAAGCGCGUCUAGGUGGUUAUGUAAGUCUGAUGUGAAAAUGCAGGGCUCAACUCUGUAUUGCGUUGGAAACUGUGUAACUAGAGUACUGGAGAGGUAAGCGGAACUACAAGUGUAGAGGUGAAAUUCGUAGAUAUUUGUAGGAAUGCCGAUGGGGAAGCCAGCUUACUGGACAGAUACUGACGCUGAAGCGCGAAAGCGUGGGUAGCAAACAGG
rnacentral:rRNA from 1 species